UUUUGGGAAGUAAAAGUCGUAACAAGGUUUCCGUAGGUGAACCUGCGGAAGGAUCAUUAUCAAAACAGCGGACUUCGGUCCUUGCUGCACCCUUGUCUUUUGCGUACCGUAUGUUUCCUCGGCGGGCUUGCCUGCCGGUUGGACAUUAUCAAACCUUUUUGUAGUUGCAAUCAGCGUCAGAAAAUAAACAAUAAUUACAACUUUCAACAACGGAUCUCUUGGUUCUGGCAUCGAUGAAGAACGCAGCGAAAUGCGAAAAGUAGUGUGAAUUGCAGAAUUCAGUGAAUCAUCGAAUCUUUGAACGCACAUUGCGCCCCUUGGUAUUCCAUGGGGCAUGCCUGUUCGAGCGUCAUUUUGUACCCUCAAGCACUGCUUGGUGUUGGGCGUUUGUCCUGCAAAGGACUCGCCUGAAAGCGAUUGGCGGCCAACGUACUGGUGGUAGAGCGCAGCACAAUUUGCGUCUCUCCCUUCUACGUCGGCGUCCAUGAAGCCUUUUUCAACGUUGACCUCGGAUCAGUAGGUUCCCCGGAUC
rnacentral:rRNA from 1 species